AAGCGCGGAAAGAGUGCCGGCUGUUAUUUAAAAUAAAUUCGAACUUAUAGGUGAAUCCGAGUGCAGCGCCAUGAACAAACGAAAGAAAGCAAAGGAAACCCGCUAAAACGAUCUUUUUCACGGUGCGAUAGAAAUGAUCCUAUAUUUAACGCGAGUUUUUAACUCAUUGUCAGCCGUGCAGUUAACAUUACCCUCUCCUACCGUCGAGAAAACACGAGUUUUUUCUUUCUUCUUCUUUUUCUUGUCUCACAUAGAAACACACGAGUAAGGUUUGUUCGUGUUAGAAGAAGUAAGAAAAAUAACAAGAGGAAAAAGAAGAAGUAGAAGAAGAAACAUCCAAUAUAGUGACUAAACUUGUCUUUCUCUUUAUAAAUACAUACUUAUAUAUACAAGUAUAUAUAUACAUAUUUAUAUAUAUACAUAGCAUAUAUACGUGUUCGUCCGUCUCUUGUUACGCGAGUGCGCGAGUCGUGCAUCGGUUGGAGAGUUUGAUAAUAAAAGUCUGAUGGCAGUCGUGUGACGGUGCAUCUCGGGUGAUAUUAUCCCGACUAUCAACAAAUCUUUCAUUCCUGACGAGAAUGUACGAAUACAGGGAAAAGUGCAAGAAAAUCAAUGUUAGACGAGUAACGACAAGUAUUGGUUUCGAAGAAGAACGAACGAACGAACGAACGAACGUGUGUGCCAGAGAGAGAAAGAAUAUCGCGCUGCAGUUUUAACCUAAUUUCGUAGUUCGUAUGGAGACGCAAGGAACUCCAAUCGAUAGAUUUAAAGGAGCAGAGUGACACAAACGACCUCGAUCCUCCCGACCACUAGGAUUAUUCCAACGUCCUCUCCUACCCCGUGUACUUACAACGCCUUUGGCUGGUGAUCGUGGUGGUUUCCCUAGUGGAAACCAGAAACUUGAUACUACGUCACGGUGAGUUUUAAAAAACUAGAAUUUUUAUUUUUCUAGAAUGACAAUCCUUAACGAAGGAUCAUGCACAAAUUAACAAGACAUACUAAUGUUAAAAAAGCAUUGUUUUAAUACUACUAUGAAAUAAUUUUAUUCGACAACAUUCUACUUUUUUAUAUUCCAUUCGAUAACAACGUAUCAAUAAUUAUCAUCAUAUCUAAACUUUUUCCUGUACGUAUACAUAUAUAAAUA